UGAUAUGGGGGCGAUCUAGUUGCAACAUCUGUCACCCAUUGAUUGCCAGGGUUGAUUCAGCUGAUCUGGUUAGCUAGGCAGGUGUCCCCUUCCUCCCUCACUGAUCCACAUGUCCCUCCGCAAAACUGUGUGCUAAGUUGGAGAGGAUUACUAUCCCCACUAGAAGACUGCUCUUAGACUUCAGUAUAAGAGUAGCUGCGCUCUCCUGCUAGAACCUCCAAACAAGCUUUCAAAAAAGAAAAGAUUAACAAAUUAGCACACAGUAAAUUGAGAAUUCUAUUUACUUAAUGAAUGAGCAGACAGU
rnacentral:snRNA from 1 species